ensembl:lncRNA
UACAUGCAGCCCAGGAUGGAGGGGGCUCUGUGAUCAGCUUCCCUUGAGGAAUCGUAAGCAUCUCCCUUCAAAACACAAGUUCAAAGGCCGAGGUUGCACUUUCUAGAGCCUUGGAUAAUCACUCGGGUUUGCUCAGUGGCUGGGGUGAAGCUGACACGCUUUGACCCUCACAUGGGCCACCAAUUUGGCACUCGCUUUGAGUGCUUUUCUCUUUUUGGCUGGAAAUCGCCACUGAAAAACAGCCUUGGGAGUGUUCCAGUCAUCUGAAGAGCUUAGAGAAGCCUACCUGCCUUUUUUCUUCUCCUGUGUGUGAGCUAAUGAGCAGAGUGCAUGCGACUCUGAGGUGAAAUAGAGGACCAUCAUGCACUUGGGGAGGAAAAAUAACUGCAUUAAAUUGAAAACAUUUUUUCCUUUUUUAUUUAUAGGUACAUUUCAAGAAAAAGUGGCAAGAAGUGAGGGGGGAAACAGGGUCUGGAAAUGCCGCAAGUUGGAUUCAAGCCCAUGUAACCCACAUAAGCACCACAGCUGAGCCCACAUAGAUGAGGUGAAGCGGGUGCCACGUGAUACAUGACAUUAUUAAACAAACUCGGAGAUGGUACCCAAACACCACACUCUCGGCGCACAGGGGACAGCAGCUGUCUGUUCAGGAGGGGAUGCAGAGUUGUUUGUAUGCAGGACCUGGACAAGUAAGUGUCUCAAUGUCUCCACACUCGGAAUAGAACCACUCUCAAAUAUCAAGCGGGCCGUAGGUCAGAAGCGGCCCAUGACGCUCCACUGACCUCAGCGGAGGAGAGAAACUCCUACAGCAGAGAAAAGCAGCUUUCAGGCGCUAUGAGACAGAGGUUUUUGGCUCUCUGACUUUGUAUCAUUUUAAGCUGCAAAGAGGAUUACAUGCACAAAUCCAAACAAAGCAACAGACGAAUAGUGAGGUGCGAUGUUUCAACUGCCAGAGAGGAGCUAUCGGAAAUACGUUUACAGGGAUAUAAUGUGAACAGUGUCUUUUUGUAUAAGACGUCAAUGCAUUGUUUAAAAUUCCUUUAAGAUAGAGCUGAACAUUUGCUAUUAUAACUCAUCUUCUGUGUUGUUAUAUGUUACUUUGUGAAAAAUAAACCAUGCAUAAAUAAUUAUAGUCCA